rnacentral:misc_RNA from 1 species
AACCUUCUUUUGAACAACCGGCUCCUGGUUACCAGAUUGUGUUGUGCCAAUGUCAAUGAGUUCAGCAUAGUGUACUGUAAAUGAAGCUAUAUACGGGCAGGUGUGUUUUAUCCCUCUUUUCUACCCCAAUCUACAACAUAAUGGCAUAUCGUUGGAGCUUUCGAAUCCUCAUUCGGUACACCAGGGUACUUAGGACAAACCCCGGGUUUAUGUUUAUAUUAACUGGCAGAGAAAGUUAAUAAGUUAUGAAUGUAACAAUCACCAAUUAUCCUGUUGCGUUGGUAACAAAGUCUAAGUGUGAUUGUUUUGAACCGUUUUGCCAUUUGUAUCAAACGAUUUUGUGCUCAAAAGCUCAAGUUUGGAUUACUUCUCUGUAUCAUGAAGUGUUAACUAUGCUAUAAUUGUUUAUUAUGGUUGAAAAAGAUCGGCCCGUGUCUCAAACUACAGAUCUCAAGCGAUCACAGAGUGUAGAUGUCUUAGAAGGUUCUGCAGAAAGUUUAACCAAUUUCCAAAAGGAAGGACCACAAGAAGUUGUGGUUAAUGAGACGCCUGGAUUAAAUUCUGAAAAUGAAAAAGAUAAGUUUAACACUCUCUGUGAAGGCGUACAAACUGCUCAUUCAACGUUCGACCUCUAUUUAACCGAGUUGCUUACAAUAAAAGACGAAUUACUAAAGCAUUCGUUGCCAUCAAAUCUUUUGAUCAACCUCACAUUAACAUGUUCCAAGCUCUACAGAAGUGCGUCUGAUCUGAGAGCUCCAACGAGUGAACUAAUACGCCUUGUGAGAUUAUAUUCUGCACAAUGGGAAGCAAAGAGCAGUAUAUUCCAGAAAAUUCACGAUGACUAUGAAAGCAAGCAAAGACGUUUAGAUAUUGCCCUAAAGAAGCUUGAACUAGUUGGUGUUGCGUCUGAAAGAGUCGAGAAAGAAAAGAGAAUAAGGAAUUGGGAGAAAGUAUUUUCAAAAGUUAUGAGUGCCAAGAGUCAUGGUCACAGAUGGAAGUUUUUAAUUGGAUCUUUAAAAAAGAAAGCGAAAACGGGAGAAAUUCUUUCCAUACCAUAUCCGUCAAGUUCGGCUACUGAUGGGGUGCAGAAUGAGUCUAAAGAAGAACCAAUUAUUCCACGUCAUCAUCGACGAAAUGUGCGAAGUUUGCGACAUCAAACUUUAUUACGACGCGAGGCACAUUUUGAUGAAAGUAGCAAAACAAAUGAUGACCUGCAUGAGUUGCCGCAAAGCCGGGAAGAAAGUGAAGUUUCAUCGGAAGACGAUGCUCAGACUUUGUUAGGAAUGAAAAGAGUCAAUCGUAAACAUGGAAUGAUGCCAGAUCCGGUUGCAUCAAGAUUUAAAUCCAAGUAUCCAUUUGAAAAGGAAUCAGGUCCACCCGAAUUCUCCAGAAGGUUUAGACCCGCGAGAGUCGAAAGUCCAACUGGCGUACGGAAUCUUACCAAUUCAAGAAACCCAGCCAACCGACGAUUUCUCAAGAAAAAUGUUUCAUUUGUCGACGAGUUACCUGAGGAGAACAAAUCAAAAACAUGUACAAAGGAAGAUAAAAACGUGGGGACUGGAGAGACUGACUAUGAAAGAUUCUUGCACGUGCGAAUAUACAAACCUGAAUGCAAGCUAGUUUCGGAACCGAAAUGCACAAUAUGCCUUGGUGAACAAGUAUUUAACAGCAGAGUUUACAACAACGAUGAGAAUUUAACGACUGCAUCCGAAGAUAACAGAUAUCAGGAAUUCGUAUUCACUUUACCCCCAGAUAACGUGUACGUGCAAGGACAGGGUAUCACAAACAUUGAAUCGCUUCAGCUUAGAAUAGCAGUUCAGGGCGAAGGUGGAGGACAAAUAGUUGCGAUGUCUACUAUGGGAUAUGAUGAGCUUAAAAUUUCGCAAAGCGAUAUUGACUCAGAACAGGAAACACCUAAAAGAUAUCCAAUGUUGUCUCUUGUGUCAGACAAGGAAACAUUGUUCAAUUCCGUUGUCGGUCAUGUUCCAGUUAUUUGUUACCAGACAAAGAAAGAAAGAUUGCGAUCAUUUGAUGCAACAUCACAAACCUUGUCUAUCACAGAAUUAAUUGAUGAAGCAAUGGCGGCCAAAAAAAAAGAGGAGGAAACUCAGGAAAGCAUAAAUGAAAUGGAUGCUGAUGAGGAGAAAAAGAUCUACACCGAAGACGAUUUUGAAGAAAUGAGAAGCAGACACAUUGAAGAGAUACAAGAUUUAAGAGAUGAAUACGAAUUGCAAUUGCAAGAGAUAGCUCGUAUUUCAAUGAGAGGAUCUCCAGAUGGAUUCUCAACUACUUCAGCUGAACCCAAAUUUCUCAACGCUUGUACAUCUCCCAUACCACAAAGUGCAUUAUCCUCUACGAUACAGUGUUCCCGUAAAAGCACUCCACGACCUCGCACAGCUGAUGGCAGGACUACCAAAUCACCGAAGAGCAUGAAGAAAAUCAAAACAGGUCAUGUUUUACCAGAAUGGGGUAAAAAUCUUCCAGAAAAUUUUUUUGAUAGACUAGAACAAUUUUCCAGAGCAAGUGCUAAACAUCAUCAGGAUUUGAGUGAAAAGACAAAGAAAGAGGUUCAGGAAAACUAUGAACUUAAAAUGGCAACACAAAACCGACUAAGUGUUGAAGAAGAUGAAUUGGACUUAAAUGAUGUUUGUCUUCCUGCCUUAUUCAUGCCAUCGAGAAUGGGGACUGUUUAUUCUCCGAAAGCAAGUUUAUAUUUUCAUCCAUCAGGGGUUUCUAGAGGUCGUUUCACUCAAGCUCCGUCGGUAUUUAAACUACCUUCUUCUGUAGAAAGAAAUUCUUCGUCUGUUAUGAAUCUAUUUGAUAUCAGUCAAAAUUUUAUAACCCAUGGACCGACUUGGCUAUCGAAUGGCUCUCGUCCGCAAUCAGCUCGAAUAGCAGGAACAAAAGAAGAGAAAAUAUUAAAAUUGUCUUAAAAACGGCAGUCGAUUUCGACCAGAACUGUCAGAUUGGUCUCAAUGCGAAGUCAAUAUCCGGAGGGUGUUACAAGAAAGUAGACGUUCUCGAUCAGACUCGAUGGUCAUUUGGGAACGGUUCGCCAGAUUUCAUCAAUCGAAGGUAUAAAGAGUCACCAAUGCUAGAAAAACUAGAAAAUCGCGUGUAAGCACUGAUAUAAUGUGAGUAUAUGGGCGCUUUGACGCUUUCCUUUAUACGGAAAAAACGGUUUGAACGGUCCUGUUGUAUUUCGGUAUAGUCAGAUCA